AAAAACAUGGUCUUUUGUUUAUAUAAAAGAUCUGACCUGCCCAAUGAUAUUAAUUUAAUGGCUGCAGUAUUUUGACUGUACAAAGGUAGCAUAAUCAUUUGUCUUUUGAUUGGAGUCUGGAAUGAAUGGUUAGAUGAAAGAUUUACUUUCUUUAUUUUAAAAUUAAAAAUUAAUUUUUAAAUCAAAAAGUUUAAUUGGUAAUAAAGGACGAGAAGACCCUAUAGAACUUUAUUUAUAUAAAUUAUUUAUUAAUUUGUUAAUUAUUAAUAUAUAUUUUUUUAUAAAUUGUGUUGGGGUGACAAAAAAAAUAUUCUAACUUUUUUUAAUUAAAGCAUUUAUUUAUGCAUUUUGAUCCUUUAAUAUGGAAUAUAAGAUUAAGUUACCUUAGGGAUAACAGCGUUAUUAUUUUGGAGAGUUCUUAUCAAUAAAAUAGUUUGCGACCUCGAUGUUGGAUUAAAAUUAGCUCUAGGAGUAGAAGAUUAGUGGCUAAGUCUGUUCGACUUUUAAAUUUUUACAUGAUCU
rnacentral:rRNA from 1 species